UGCCAGCCGCCGCGGUAAUACGGAGGGGGUUAGCGUUGUUCGGAAUUACUGGGCGUAAAGCGCGCGUAGGCGGAUCAGAAAGUUGGGGGUGAAAUCCCGGGGCUCAACCCCGGAACUGCCUCCAAAACUCCUGGUCUUGAGUUCGAGAGAGGUGAGUGGAAUUCCGAGUGUAGAGGUGAAAUUCGUAGAUAUUGGGAAGAACACCAGUGGCGAAGGCGGCUAACUGGCUCGGUACUGACGCUGAGAUGCGAAAGCGUGGGGAGCAAACAGGAUUAGAUA
rnacentral:rRNA from 1 species